rnacentral:rRNA from 1 species
ACUGAGACACGGCCCAGACUCCUACGGGAGGCACCAGCUAAGAAUCUUCCGUAACUGCGGCGAAAGCCUGACGGAGCGACUCCGCGUGGACGAGGAAGGCCGGACGGUUGUAAAGUCCUUUACUCUGAUGAAGAAUAUGGCAGCGAGUGGAAUGCGCUGUCGAUGACAUUACUUGAGGAAUAAGCCCCGGCUAGUUACGUGCCACCAGCCGCGGUCUCCCGUUAUGGGCGAGCGUUGUUCGGAAUUCUUGGGCGUAUAGGGCGCCUAGGCGGCUGGCCAAGCCUGGUGUGAAAGCCCCCAGCCUAACUGGGGAGUGCCCUGGAACUCACAGCUAGAGUCUCGCAGGGAACAUGAAGUCAUGCCUUAGCGAGGAAUCAGUAGAUAUCAGGAAGAACAUCAGUGACGAAGGCGAGCUUCUGGCCAGAAACUGACGCUGAGGAGCGCAAGCAGUCGGGGAGCGAACAGGACUAGAUACCCUGGUAGUCCACGCAAGUAAACGAUCGAGCACUAGGUGACGGCAGUGAUAACGGUCAGUGCCGAAGCAAACGCGAUAAGCGCACCGCAUGGGGAGUAUGCUCGCAAGGGUGAGACUCAAAGGAAUGGACGGAGCACCGCACAAGCAACCGGAGCGUGUGCGUAUAAUUCGAUGCUACACGAACGAACCUCACCAGGGUUUGACAUGUAGGUGCUAAGUGAAUCGAAAGCUGAACGACCCUUCGGGGAGCAUACACAGCUGCUGCAUGGCGGUCGUCAGCUCGUGCCGCGAGGUGUCGGGUUAAGUCCCGUAACGAGCGCAACCAUUGCUCCUAGUUACAAGUGUCCUAGGGGGACUGCCGGCGGAAAGCCGGAGCCACGGUGGGGAUGACGUCAAGUCUAGCAUGGCCCAGAUAUCCAGGGCAUACACACACGCAUACAAUGGUCGGUACAAAGGGCAGCGAAACCGCGAGACGGAGCGAAUCCGAGAAAGCACGAUCGUAGUUCGGAUAGCAGGCUGCAACCCGCAUGCAUGAAGCUGGAGUUGCUAGUAACCGCGCGUCAGCCAUCGCGCGCGGAAUACGUUCCCGGGGCUUGUACACACCGCCCGUCACGUCAUGGGAGU